GACACAACGUGGGUGGGUGUGUGGGUGCGGAGGCUGGGUUUGGGGGCGAGCUCCCCUCUGCGCUGAGACCCUGCUGAGGAAGCAGGGGUGGCGAGCUGGGGACAUGGCCUCUGUUGAAGCCUGAGGUGCUGCGGGGACAGGGCUCCUCUCAGAAAAGCAGCCUAGGUCUGUAUCUUCUGAACCUGUGCUGGGUGACGUCUCAGACCCUUCAGUUCUCCACGGAACCCUCCAAAUCUUCGGCAGAGAUGAUCGUGGGGCCCUUCCUCCCAGGGUUUUGCUGCAAUUCCCCCCAAAGCCACUUCCCCCAGGCCCUGGCCUUUCUUCUCUUAACCAAUUAGACCUGAUACCAAGCACCCCAGCAGGCUGGCCCUGCUCCGAAGCCUCGCCCAUGGUGGGGGGGUGGGCAGGCCUCCCAGGAAACAGCAGCCCUGUGUGGGGUCCCCCUGGGGCUGCUGGUGAUUGGGAGAUUUUGCCUCCUUUGUGGGGCCAACUGACAACCUUCAAAGUCCAACGACCCCCCAUUCACGGGCUCUCAGAUGUCUGCCUGCAAUCCCUCAACAGAUAAAGUACGUUCUUUCCUGGGCGUGUUUCCCCAACAAACUGACAGCCUCAGGUCAUGCCUAACCUCACAACAGCUCCGGCUGGCUUGUUUCAGCCCACACCUCCACCUUAUCAGAGCCAUAGACCCUAAACUUCUUACCUCACCUGCAGCCAAUCAGAGACGUGUGCACUAGCCGAUCAGGCUACCUUGUGAUCCGACCUGAUAAAAGACCCCAACACCCGGCCCUCGGGGCUCACAUGAGCCCCUCUCGCCUGUGGCAGCGUGACCUAACGCACUCCUUUCUGUUCUCACCCUUUGCCUUUUGUACCUGCUUUUACUGCCCGUGACACCCGCCCCCGCUGUGUCCCUCAACAUUCUUCACACCCUGACGUGGUCAGGAGCAGUCUGUUCAUUAGAUUAAUUCCACAUUGUAUUCUGGGCCCUAUUUCCCAUCCCACCCUGCUCUCCACCCCAAAUUAUCCUUAACCACUGAAAUAAAUGCACAGCUUAAAA